rnacentral:lncRNA from 1 species
UGGUGUGAGUAGUUCUUUAGCCUGUGAUAUCAUCGGCUAUUCACAGCGAGGCUACUAAGUUUGACUAUAUAUUUUUUUGAUCUCUAACCAUUCGGAUUCUUACUAUGUAUAUUGGCUACAGUAGGUUCAAAUUUGCUGUUAGGAGUAGGAUGCACCUAGAUGGAAUCUAUCAAUCUCGAUAGAAAUAGAGAAGUCCUAUAUGAUUCAUGAGACUGAGUUCAGAAAGUCUUUGGCCAAAGUAAGUGUGAAUACUGAAAAAGAGUUUUCACGAGAUUCACAUGUGAACUCGAGU